rnacentral:rRNA from 1 species
UCAAAGGAAUUGACGGGGAGCACCACAACGGUGGAGCAUGCGGUUUAAUUUGGAUUCAACGCCGGAAAUCUUACCGGGACCGACAGCAAUAUGAAGGCCAGGCUGAAGACUUUGCCGGAUUAGCUGAGAGGUGGUGCAUGGCCGUCGUCAGUUCGUACUGUGAAGCAUCCUGUUAAGUCAGGCAACGAGCGAGACCCACGCCCACAGUUGCCAGCGUACUCUCUGGAGUGACGGGUACACUGUGGGGACCGCCGCUGCUAAAGCGGAGGAAGGAAUGGGCAACGGUAGGUCAGUAUGCCCCGAAUAUCCCGGGCUACACGCGAGCUACAAUGGUUGGUACAAUGGGUAUCUACCCGAAAGGGGACGGGAAUCUCCUAAAACCAAUCUUAGUUCGGAUUGAGGGCUGCAACUCGCCCUCAUGAAGCUGGAAUCCGUAGUAAUCGCGUUUCAACAGAACGCGGUGAAUACGUCCCUGCUCCUU